UUCCAGACUCCUACGGGAGGCAGCAGUGGGGAAUAUUGGGCAAUGGGCGCAAGCCUGACCCAGCAACGCCGCGUGAAGGAAGAAGGCUUUCGGGUUGUAAACUUCUUUUCUCAGGGACGAAGCAAGUGACGGUACCUGAGGAAUAAGCCACGGCUAACUACGUGCCAGCAGCCGCGGUAAUACGUAGGGAGCAAGCGUUGUCCGGAAUUACUGGGCGUAAAGGGCGCGUAGGUGGGCGCUUAAGUCAGGUGUGAAAACUCCGGGCUCAACCUGGAGACUGCACUUGAAACUGGGUGUCUUGAGGGCAGGAGAGGAAAGUGGAAUUCCGUGUGUAGCGGUGAAAUGCGUAGAUAUACGGAGGAACACCAGUGGCGAAGGCGGAUUGCUGGACAGUAACUGACGCUGAGGCGCGAAAGCGUGGGGAGCAAACAGGAUUAGAUACCCCAGUA
rnacentral:rRNA from 1 species